rfam:Schistosoma mansoni strain Puerto Rico chromosome 2, complete genome
AUCCAGCUGACGAGUUUCAAGUAGGACGAAAGGCGCGUCCAACUGGAU